rnacentral:rRNA from 1 species
GAUGAACGCUGGCGGCGUGCCUAACACAUGCCAGUCGAGCGAACGGACGAGAAGCUUGCUUCUCUGAUGUUAGCGGCGGACGGGUGAGUAACACGUGGAUACCCUACCUAUAAUACUGGGAUAACUUCGGGAAACCGGAGCUAAUACCGGAUAAUAUUUUGAACCGCAUGGUUCAAAAGUGAAAGACGGUCUUGCGGUCACUUAUAGAUGGAUCCGCGCUGCAUUAGCUAGUUGGUAAGGUAACGGCCUACCAAGGCAACGAUGCAUAGCCGACCUGAGAGGGUGAUCGGCCACACUGGAACGUAGACACCGUCCAGACUCCUACGGGACGCAGCAGUAGGGAAUCUUCCGCAAUGGGCGAGAGCCUGACGGAGCAACGCCGCGUGAGUGGUGGAGGUCUUCGGAUCGUAAUACUCUGUUAUUAGUGAAGAACAUAUGUGUAAGUAACUGUGCACAUCUUGACGGUACCUAAUCAGAAAGCCCCGGCUAACUACGUG